UGGCGGCGUGCCUAACACAUGCAAGUCGAACGCCCUUGCUCUCGCAAGAGAGGCAGGGAGUGGCGGACGGGUGAGUAACACAUGGGUGACCUACCCCCCAGUGAGGAAUACCGGCGAGAAAUCGCCGACAAGACCGCAUAGGGUCUCUGUGGUCAAGCACAGAGAGCAAAGUCUCGCAAGAGACGCUGAGGGAUGGGCCUGUGGCCGAUUAGCUAGUUGGGGGGGUAAGAGCCUCCCAAGGCGACGAUCGGUAGCUGGUCUGAGAGGACGAACAGCCACACUGGGAUUGAGAACGNCCCAGACUCCUACGGGGGGCAGCAGUGAGGAAUUUUCCGCAAUGGGGGCAACCCUGACGGAGCAACGCCGCGUGCAGGAAGACGCUUUUCGGAGUGUAAACUGCUUUUCUGUGGGACGAGAGUGGACGGUACCACAGGAAGAAGCCCCGGCUAACUACGUGCCAGCAGCCGCGGUAAUACGUAGGGGGCGAGCGUUGUCCGGAGUUACUGGGCGUAAAGGGCAUUCA
rnacentral:rRNA from 1 species